rnacentral:rRNA from 1 species
GUGGGGAAUAUUGCACAAUGGGCGGAAGCCUGAUGCAGCAACGCCGCGUGCGGGAUGACGGCCUUCGGGUUGUAAACCGCUUUCGCCUGUGACGAAGCGUGAGUGACGGUAAUGGGUAAAGAAGCACCGGCUAACUACGUGCCAGCAGCCGCGGUGAUACGUAGGGUGCGAGCGUUGUCCGGAUUUAUUGGGCGUAAAGGGCUCGUAGGUGGUUGAUCGCGUCGGAAGUGUAAUCUUGGGGCUUAACCCUGAGCGUGCUUUCGAUACGGGUUGACUUGAGGAAGGUAGGGGAGAAUGGAAUUCCUGGUGGAGCGGUGGAAUGCGCAGAUAUCAGGAGGAACACCAGUGGCGAAGGCGGUUCUCUGGGCCUUUCCUGACGCUGAGGAGCGAAAGCGUGGGGAGCGAACAGGCUUAGAAACCCUGGUAGUCC